CCAACAACCCCAUGAGACAUGCUGUUGUUGUUGAAGUGCUUGAUUUACAGACAGGGAAACUGAGGCUAAAGAAGGUUAAUGGACCUCAUAUCUAAGACUGCAGAAUGGGUGAGUCAGGAUUUGAACCCACACCCACGUUUUCACUUUGUCUGUGCAGGAAGGGUAUCUGGGCUGUGAGGGGGAGGAGGGUGCCCUUCUCAUACCAGCAAAUAGCUCCGGUGGCCCUGGGUGGACUCCUUGGCCAUCAGAGUCUCCGCCAGCACCUCGUACAGCUCGUCCAAAGGCUCCGUGUGGACAGCCUCGUGCUGGGGGCAGACAGAGUGAGAGCUUGUUUGCUUUCGUUCUAAUCUGUAAAAAUGGUCAGAUGAUUUUCACCAAGUUUGGAGGGGAGAUUUGGGAUGGAAUGGUGUAAUACCGGCCAGCUGGUAUAUAAAAUAUUCACUUCGUUGGGUGUGGUGUUGUGUGCCGAAUAGUUCCAGCUACUCUAGAGGCUGACGUGGGAGGACUGCUUGAGCCCAGGAGUUCGAGGACAGCCUGGGCAACAGAGAUCUUGUCUCUAAAAAAAAAAUAAUUCCACUUGGUAGGGAAACCUGGACGGGAGGGCCUUCAACAAGAGGUGUUGAGAGGGUAGGGUUAGGUGUAGUCUAGGGCAGGAGACAAGGAUUCCGUGAGAGCUGCCACGUGACCAUGACAGAGAGCUCUGUGUUUGGAUCAAACACAGAGAGGAGGAAAACGAAAGGUGAUUUUAAGUGAGCCCAGGCAGAACUGUGAGGGCGGCCCAUGCUGCAGGCUGUGGCUGUCAGCAGGCUGCUUCUCCACAGCUGGCCCCGUCCUACAAUUCUCAGGGCAGCAGCAGGGUACACUGGGUGACUGCUGCCCUCUCCUGGUGGCACAGGGCAGACCUGCUGGUGACCACAGAUGCACCCUUUUGGAGAGAACUAGGGAGAAAGCAGGUAUUGGAGAAGCAGGGGAUUGUUUAUUUGCUGAAAGUGUGGCCCUUUCACUCAGCAGGUCUGCUACUGCCUACUAAGGAACGG
rnacentral:lncRNA from 1 species